rnacentral:rRNA from 1 species
CCUACGGGAGGCAGCAGUGGGGAAUAUUGGACAAUGGGGGGAACCCUGAUCCAGCCAUGCCGCGUGUGUGAAGAAGGCCCUCGGGUUGUAAAGCACUUUCAGUGAGGACGAACGCCUGGUGGUUAAUACCCAUCAGGAAAGACAUCACUCACAGAAGAAGCACCGGCUAACUCCGUGACAGCAGCCGCGGUAAUACGGAGGGUGCGAGCGUUAAUCGGAAUUACUGGGCGUAAAGCGCGCGUAGGUGGCUUGAUAAGCCGGUUGUGAAAGCCCCGGGCUCAACCUGGGAACGGCAUCCGGAACUGUCAAGCUAGAGUGCAGGAGAGGAAGGUAGAAUUCCCGGUGUAGCGGUGAAAUGCGUAGAGAUCGGGAGGAAUACCAGUGGCGAAGGCGGCCUUCUGGACUGACACUGACACUGAGGUGCGAAAGCGUGGGUAGCAAACAGGAUUAGAUACCCUAGUAGUC